UUGUCAGAGUUGAAAAUCCCUGUGGAGAAAUGUAGAAGAAUAGCCAAUACUCUUGGAGAGAGGCGUGGUUACUGAUUGUGCCACACCCUUUGAGAAUCCCUGGUCUAAGCAGAUAUAAUUCCUAAAGUAUGGUACAUGGGGGUUAAUCCAUGGUUUUGCACAUCCCUCCUAGAUUGUCUAUAAAAAAGUAUCUUUAGUUGCAAACCAGUUGCUUAUAUCAACUGGCUAGCUUGUUAUUAUUGUUCUCGUUCAGGAAACGCAUGCACUUCAAAAUGGGAAUCUUGGUUUUAAAUCAGCGCUUUAAAUUGCCUUGAUUUUUAAAUUAAUCCCUCCCAAUCGGUACCUGUCAUCCUCAUUACAAUGCAGUCUGGAGUAAUAUUGAGUGACACUGCAACAUGAAUGUGUCAGGGAGCAAACAAUGAAGUAUGUAAUUCUAUCUCGCGUUAAUUCAGAGUGUCACAGAUGGUGUGAUGGUUAUAGAGCAAUCUAUAAAAAAUGACCCAGGAGGACAGAGAGCGCUGGCACAAUGACUUAUUCCCCAGUUAUUUAGCCCUUUAGGAUCUGAUACGAAAACAGAUAGUCCACUCUGCACGAUCUACCUACUGGCAAACCUUGGCUGACUGGCCGAAUUCCUUAACCUCAGACAUACAAACUUAGAUGUGUGUUUUUCUUUUGCAAAGCACUCCUAAUAUUUAUUGCCCUCUCACUCCAGCUUCUUUCUGUGUCUCUGACUUUACUUUUUUGCUCCCACUAUCCAGAGUUUCUCUCUCUAUUAUUCCAGUUCACUGUAUGGACAGGGGGGUGUGUGUGUGUGUGUGUGUGUGUGUGUGUGUGUGUGUGUGUAAGCCCUCUGCUCCUUAGGAAGAACAGGUUCAAAUCCCAACAGAGAUAAUGUCAGCCCUUCAGAUAUCCAAGGUAGACUAAUUGGACUCAAUGAUGCUCCCGUCUUUAUGCUUCUUGUCAAUCUUUAGACAACUCCCAUCAUGCCCCUGGAUUAAUGAGCAGAGAGUGAAGGCUGUGGAUCGGAGGAUGAAGAGCGAUGCGUUCUUAGGUUUUGCUUUCGCUAAACCUUUCAUAAUAAAACAGGUUGUUUCUGUUGUCCAUGCCUCCAGCAUACGGCAUAAAAAUAAGAGGGGCACAUUGGACUUGCUGGUAUUUUAAUGAACUGAAUGGCUCGGGGCUUGCAUGCUUAAGAGAUAGCCUCUCCUCCUGUGAGCUCCUUAGCCAGUUGAGGUCCUCAUUCUAGGCUCUGCCCAGUGUGAUUGAGCUUUGCAAGGUUAUAUCAUCACUGGGUAGAAGGAGGGCCUUGGAGGACAAGGUUAUCCACCGCAUAUCUAGCAAAACACCCUACUUUCCACAGUAACCAAACAUAUGCUUCCCUUUCUGCACUUCCAGAUAACUCUUAUUCUAUAGCGCAGGUCAUAUUUUGCCCAUCUGGCCUACAAGGUCUUCCCAACCCAAGCCACAAUCACGUCACAUUUGACAUCAGGUGUUGAGUGUCUGGAGCUUGCACAGCCAAUCCCCAAAGGAAGCUGGGUUGAAUUCCAUGCAUCAGUUGAUUCCUGCUUGGUCACUUUCCCCCACCCACCUGCCGUCCUCAACCUUGACAGGGUCAUCUACCUGCCAAUCAUCUGAUGUCAUCAUGAUGCCAGAUAAUUGGCAAGUAAUUGUUCCUUUGGGGUGGGGUGAGAUAAAGAUCUGGUCUGCUGAACCUGAAAGGUUUCCCACCCCUGCUAUAGUGGUAUUCAAAGGUAUGAGGAAGGUAAACGUAAGGUAAGGUAAAGGACCCCUGGAUGUCAAAGGCGACUAUGGGGUUACCGCGCUCAUCUUGCUUUCAGGCCGAGGGAGUGGGCGUUUGUCCACAGACAGCUUUCCGUGUCAUGUGGCCAGCAUGACUAAACCGCUUCUGGCGCACUGGAACACCGUGACAAAAACCAGAGCACACGGAAACGCCGUUUACCUUCCCGCCGCAGCGGUAUCUGUUUAUCUACUUGCACUGGUGUGCUUUUGAACUGCUAGGUUGGCAGGAGCUGGGACAGAGCAAUGGGAGCUCACUCCGUUGCAGGGAUUCGAACCGCCAACCCAAGAGGCUCAGGGGUUUAGACCACAGCGCUAACCGCGUCCCUAUUCAAAGGUAUACCGCCUCUUAAACAUGGAGGUUCUAUGUAGCUAAUAUAUUGGCUAAGAGCCAUUGAAUUUGCAUAGUUCCUUCUUAAUGUCAUAUUAAAAUAGUGCAUUUAUACAGAAUGCUUAAAAAUAUUUUAAACAGCUUUUUAAAAAACUACUAGUGAUACUGGGUUGAUGUUGAUCUGAACUGGCAAGUCUUCAGGUGCGAAAGCAUUAAUUUCUUUGCCAAAAUAAGUGAUCCUCCUUUCCCCUAUAGAUGCAAAUUUGACAGUUAAAUAUUUAGCACUUGCAAUUGACGAGACAGAAGCCCCUAAUUACAUCAGUUCUUAGUUUUUGAAAUUCUUAACCCAGCGAUUAGCUAAUCCAGCUCAUCUGGAAUUAAAUUCUCUGGACAUGUCAUUUCAUAAUUUCAGUAUUUUUUCCCUCCCUAAUUUUGCAGCUGUGCUUGGACUGAUUUUUGGGGGAUUUUUUUUUUUUAAGGCUGACUUGGACCACAUCGACACCACACCUUUAAAGCACUAUGACACCGCUUUAAACAGCCAUGACUUUCCCCAAAGAAUUAUGGGAGCUGUAGUUUGUUGGAAGGGUGCCUAGAGUUGCUAGGAGAGCCCUGUUUCCCUCAUAGAGCUGUAAUUCGCAGAGCUGCCUUUGAAGAUUGCCAAACCAUUCUGGGAAUCUACCAAAAAAGAAAAGAGAACAGUGUGUACAUUAAAAAACAACAAAAAACCUAUUUAUAUACAGUUCCCAUGCAUUGGCAGGAUUGUGUGAAAAGAACAGGCAGAGGCUAUAUUGCUUUCUCCUCACCGAAGGCCUACCAUUGUUCUGCUUCAACAUCCUAGUGAUUAUCAGGUUGGGUUUUUUCUUUUUCCUUUUUAAGUCUUGCCCUGAAUGCAUCCAUGUGCUCAGUCUGCCUUAUUGCAUGCAUGAAGUUUGUGUUUGUGUGUUGUGUAUAUGUACACACACAUACACACCCUUAUGUUUUACCACGUGAGAUCAAAGCUUUAAAAUAUAUAGGGAUAAAUCACAACAGCAGGAUUAACUGAUGAUAAUAAAAUAACCCUGGCUUUGCUAAGGAAUGAGAAACUGUUAUUUCUAUUUAUUCCUUAGCAGAUCAAAUCAAACUUGUUUGGUUCUAGUUUGGCGGUUCUGCGCUGGAGAGUCUCCCAUCCCUUGAAAUUUAUUUCUAGGGAAAAUGCCAUUUCCAAAAUACAAAUGUUAUAGUUACUUUCUUUUUUCUUUCUCUCUCCCCGCUUGCCUGCCACUCUUCAGUCGGAGGAGAGGCCACUUCUUUAGACUUGACACCCCUCUGUGAAAAUUUGAUUGCCAUGGCUACCCUGUUUGUUGGUGCCAUUCUGCCAUUUACUAAACCUGGCUUCGGGUCCCUUUUAGCAGAAUAGCUUGGGAUCUUACAAGUUUGCUAAUGCAGAAUUCAUGAUGGUGAUUGGUGGGGGUUUUUUUGGGGGGGAGGGUGAUAUAUAGCCUGUAUCACUUGUGUGCAGCUACAAGUAUAAGAGGGGUGUGUUUGUGUUUGUAUUCACCCGCACAUACGUGGUGUGUAUCAACGCACACAGCUUUCCUACGUCUAAUAACAGCGUCGGAGGGCUGUCUGGCCAACAUUAAAGAACUUCAAGGUGAAGCUUGCAAAUCUUAGCUGACACCCCAGCCUUGAUUCUGCCAUUUCUGCCAAAAGGCUUAAUGGUGGGAGAGAAAGCUGGCGUGUCAGCACUAAUUUUCAGCAUUAACUGUGAAUUUCCUGGCUUUUGUGUGUAUCUAAGUCGGGGCUCUUAUCUUACCAGUGCCUCUGCCCCCACCAAACACCAGUCUCUCCAAAAGAGCUUUGCAGGACAAUAGUCAAGGAAUUAACUCCCUGCAGCUUAAGGUGCAAGGCACUAAUUUCUUUUUUAAUUUUCAAAAUAACGACCAGGAGAUAUUGGAGUUGAUGAGACCCACUGUGUAGAAGUGCUUGUUGUUGUUACAAUUUAUCUAUUGAUCUCCUUCCAAACCACCAUUUGAAGGUGACUUACACACAAGGUAACUAGGAAAAGUUU